AGCUACAGGCUUAACACAUGCAAGUCGAGGGGCAGCAUGGUCUUAGCUUGCUAAGACUGAUGGCGACCGGCGCACGGGUGAGUAACACGUAUCCAACCUGCCGUCUACUCUUGGACAGCCUUCUGAAAGGAAGAUUAAUACAAGAUGGCAUCAUGAGUCCGCAUGUUCACAUGAUUAAAGGUAUUCCGGUAGACGAUGGGGAUGCGUUCCAUUAGAUAGUAGGCGGGGUAACGGCCCACCUAGUCUUCGAUGGAUAGGGGUUCUGAGAGGAAGGUCCCCCACAUUGGAACUGAGACACGGUCCAAACUCCUACGGGAGGCAGCAGUGAGGAAUAUUGGUCAAUGGGCGAGAGCCUGAACCAGCCAAGUAGCGUGAAGGAUGACUGCCCUAUGGGUUGUAAACUUCUUUUAUAAAGGAAUAAAGUCGGGUAUGCAUACCCGUUUGCAUGUACUUUAUGAAUAAGGAUCGGCUAACUCCGUGCCAGCAGCCGCGGUAAUACGGAGGAUCCGAGCGUUAUCCGGAUUUAUUGGGUUUAAAGGGAGCGUAGACGGAUGUUUAAGUCAGUUGUGAAAGUUUGCGGCUCAACCGUAAAAUUGCAGUUGAUACUGGAUAUCUUGAGUGCAGUUGAGGCAGGCGGAAUUCGUGGUGUAGCGGUGAAAUGCUUAGAUAUCACGAAGAACUCCGAUUGCGAAGGCAGCCUGCUAAGCUGCAACUGACAUUGAGGCUCGAAAGUGUGGGUAUCAAACAGGAUUAGAUACCCUGGUAGUCCACACGGUAAACGAUGAAUACUCGCUGUUUGCGAUAUACAGCAAGCGGCCAAGCGAAAGCGUUAAGUAUUCCACCUGGGGAGUACGCCGGCAACGGUGAAACUCGAAGGAAUUGACGGGGGCCCGCACAAGCGGAGGAACAUGUGGUUUAAUUCGAUGAUACGCGAGGAACCUUACCCGGGCUUAAAUUGCAGAUGAAUUACGGUGAAAGCCGUAAGCCGCAAGGCAUCUGUGAAGGUGCUGCAUGGUUGUCGUCAGCUCGUGCCGUGAGGUGUCGGCUUAAGUGCCAUAACGAGCGCAACCCUUGUUGUCAGUUACUAACAGGUUCCGCUGAGGACUCUGACAAGACUGCCAUCGUAAGAUGUGAGGAAGGUGGGGAUGACGUCAAAUCAGCACGGCCCUUACGUCCGGGGCUACACACGUGUUACAAUGGGGGGUACAGAGGGCCGCUACCACGCGAGUGGAUGCCAAUCCCCAAAACCUCUCUCAGUUCGGACUGGAGUCUGCAACCCGACUCCACGAAGCUGGAUUCGCUAGUAAUCGCGCAUCAGCCACGGCGCGGUGAAUACGUUCCCGGGCCUUGUACACACCGCCCGUCAAGCCAUGGGAGCCGGGGGUACCUGAAGUGCGUAACCGCGAGGAGCGCCCUAGGGUAAAACUGGUGACUGGGGCUA
rnacentral:rRNA from 1 species